GAUGAACGCUGGCGGCGUGCUUAACACAUGCAAGUCGAACGGGAAUUACUUUAUUGAAACUUCGGUCGAUUUAAUUUAAUUCUAGUGGCGGACGGGUGAGUAACGCGUGGGUAACCUGCCUUAUACAGGGGGAUAACAGUCAGAAAUGGCUGCUAAUACCGCAUAAGCGCACAGAGCUGCAUGGCUCAGUGUGAAAAACUCCGGUGGUAUAAGAUGGACCCGCGUUGGAUUAGCUUGUUGGUGGGGUAACGGCCCACCAAGGCGACGAUCCAUAGCCGGCCUGAGAGGGUGAACGGCCACAUUGGGACUGAGACACGGCCCAGACUCCUACGGGAGGCAGCAGUGGGGAAUAUUGCACAAUGGGGGAAACCCUGAUGCAGCGACGCCGCGUGAAGGAAGAAGUAUCUCGGUAUGUAAACUUCUAUCAGCAGGGAAGAUAGUGACG
rnacentral:rRNA from 1 species